GCAGUGGUGGUUCAGUGGUAGAAUCCUUGCCUUCCAUGCAAGAGAUCUGGGUUCUAUUCCCAGCCAGUGCG